rnacentral:rRNA from 1 species
UACGGGGGGGAGCAAGCGUUGUUCGGAUUUACUGGGCGUAAAGGGCGCGUAGGCGGCGGUAACAAGUCACUUGUGAAAUCUCCGGGGCUUAACUCGGAGCGGUCAAGUGAUACUGUUGUGCUAGAGUGCGGAAGGGGCUACUGGAAUUCUCGGUGUAGCGGGUGAAAUGCGUAGAUAUCGAGAGGAACACCUGCGGCGAAAGGCGGGUAGCUGGGGCCGACACUGACGCUGGAAGCGCGAAAGCUAGGGGAGCGAACGGGG